AGAAACUGAGGCACUGAGAGUGCCAGUAGUGGUUGGUGGUGGGAAUGUCCCCAAGGCAGAGGUGAAUCAGGAUUCUUUCAUAAUGAGAGCUCCGUUGAAAGAAAGAAGAUGCACUGAGUAAGGAAAGCAACAUUGAACACCUGCUCUGCCAGGCACUCCUUCUUCCACUGGCUCUGAACUCUGGCUGGUGCAGCUGUUGACCUGGGCAGCUCGUGAGAAGGGCUUCAGGAGGACCUGGAUUAGCACAGAUAAUCAGAAGUGGAUGUACUUUCGCUACUUCCACACCUUUUGUGAUCUCAGCUUCCUCAUUUGAACAGAAGCUCUUUGAAGAUUUGCCUGUCCUGGACCUUUCAUAUGAAGGGAAACACACAACGUGUUGUCCUGUGUGACUGGCUUCCUUGACUUAUGUUUCCAAGGUUCAUCCAUGUUGUGGCAUGUGUCAGUACUUCAUUCCUUUUUUUGGCCAAAUAAUAUCCAUUGUAUGGAUAUACCACAAUCUGCUUAUCCAUUCAUCAGCUGACGGCCACUUGGAUUGCUUCUGCCUUCUGAAUACUGUGAGUAACGCUGCUGUGAACGCGGGUGUA